rnacentral:misc_RNA from 1 species
GCAACUCCAGUGUUCUAAACCAUUGCACCAGCUUCGGAUUCCUCAAAUUCAACUGACUUUCAAUGCGCUCUCCAAGAAAGUCGGUAAUUGGGGAUAAAAUUUCAUGAACAGAAGAAACAUUGUUGCUGCGUUUGCGAGAAAGAAACACUUCCACUUCUAUUGCUGCUUUGAACAAAGCAUAAAUUGCUACCUGAUAUGCGAUGCUUUUAUGCCAGGCAUGCACAUCCACCCCAACCCAUGCCAUUGCAAGC